GCUCCAGCUGGGCAGGUGGGACCCAGCACACACAGAGCACCAGGCAGGACUGCCAUGCAGCUCCCCUCCCAGGGCUCCCACCCACCAGGAGUUGUGCCCUGAAAACAGGCCAGAGGAGGCAGCCCCCUGUACCAUCAUGGAAGGGGACCCAGCUUCCCUGGGGCAGGAGGUCAGCAAGCCCUGCCCGAGCCCCAGCCUCAGCUCCAGCUCCAGCUCCUCCCAGGGAGACCUUGACAGCUCUGUGGAGUCCGGGAGCAACUUGCCCUAUGGCACCACCAUGAAAGUGAUUCCCUACCGGCCAGGCGAGGAGGCGGAGGAAGAGCAGGAGGGUGAAGACCUGAUGCUGCUGGAGGAAGAAGCCCUCACAAACAUCAUACUGCACCUCCAGGGCCAAGGAAAGGACAAGGAGCAUGGAGAGCCACCAAGUAGAGGGGAGAGGACACCCUGGAGCCAGAGAUCUGCAAAGUGGUCCUGAUACAGAAGAUCAUGGGCCUGAUGGAGACUGUGGCACUGGAUGAAAAGCCAAACAGGAUCCUGUGCUACAGCAUAGCUGCC
rnacentral:lncRNA from 1 species